UGACUAAAUGGUUAAUAUGGCACAAGCUUUGAAUUUGGAAUUUAAAUUAACAUGACUAAAUAGUUAGUAUGGUUCAAAGUUAGAAUAGUUAACC
rnacentral:tRNA from 1 species